rnacentral:lncRNA from 1 species
GAGACCUGGCCGCUCCCUUCGAGGCAGCAGCGCCCUGUGAGGUGAGUGGCGCGUUCAGCUAGGCCCGAGGGACGCCGCGGGGGGCUCAGUCAGCAACCUCGAUCUCGGAGAAGCCGAGCGAAGUUUCCAGACGGCGCCAGCCGGUUGCGGCCGGUUGGUGCGUCGGCCGGCCGCCGCGGCGCGCUCAGAGGUCGCCCGAGCCAAAGCGGGCUUUAGCAGGCGGGUCUCGGAAGCGGGGACGACGGACCCGGUCCCACCGCACCCCGGAACAAACGGAAACAGUCGCUCGGAAUUGCCAGACCGGCCUAAAUGGUACUGGAGACUCCGCUUUUGUAGCGGAUCCCGCAUUUCCAGAAGGAAAGCGUAGAAGUCAAAACAACACUGCAAACCUCCUGGAGAAGACACCUUCCCGGACAGACAAAACUGAACUUGAGGUUCCUCACAGUACUUGCUACUUCUGAGCACUCCCGAUACAAUUGCCUAAACUCAGGGUUACUGCCGUGGCAAAUACUGGGAUCCUGGAGAGAGUUCUUCUCACCACUGCAAUCUGUGCUUUGUAUCUGCCUUUGUAAACACGAGGAAUAGUGCAACCCUGCCAUGGACAGCAUGCCCUGAAUAGCUUCUUCCUCUGUGCUCGUCGAGAAAGGAAAAAAAAGGCAACUUUCAAACCUCAAGCGCAUUUAUGGACCGACCAUGGUUUCAAGCAGUUAUUACCUGGGCUCUUAUUGGCCUUUCUCUUCUGCAAGCACCACUGCAUAGCAACUCUUCUAUCAGCUCGCAGUGAUGCACUGCCUUGCCCUGACAUAAUAACUACGAAUUACAGAGGACCAGAUUUACUGGGAAUUAGUGGAAACUAAGAAAUUAAAAAUGAAUUCGAUAAUAU